rnacentral:rRNA from 1 species
AGCGAACGCUGGCGGCAGGCUUAACACAUGCAAGUCGAACGGGUCCUUCGGGACUAGUGGCAGACGGGUGAGUAACGCGUGGGAACGUGCCUUUCGGUUCGGAAUAACCCAGGGAAACUUGGAUUAAUACCGGAUACGCCCUUCGGGGGAAAGAUUUAUCGCCGAAAGAUCGGCCCGCGUCUGAUUAGCUAGUUGGUGAGGUAAUGGCUCACCAAGGCGACGAUCAGUAGCUGGUCUGAGAGGAUGAUCAGCCACACUGGGACUGAGACACGGCCCAGACUCCUACGGGAGGCAGCAGUGGGGAAUAUUGGACAAUGGGCGCAAGCCUGAUCCAGUCAUGCCGCGUGAGUGAUGAAGGCCUUAGGGUUGUAAAGCUCUUUUGUCCGGGAAGAUAAUGACUGUACCGGAAGAAUAAGCCCCGGCUAACUUCGUGCCAGCAGCCGCGGUAAUAC